CAAGAGCGUAUAUUAAAGUUGCUGCGGUUAAAAAGCUCGUAGUUGGAUUUCAGUCUAGGAAGGUUAACUCGCCGAAAGGUUGUACGUUGAUUUUCCUCAGACUUCGUCAGAAGCUCGUGCUGCACUUAACUGUGUGGUACGAUGUUCUGACCUUUUACCUUGAGGAAAGUAGAGUGUUUCAGGCAGGCUACCCGGCUUGAAUACAUUAGCAUGGAAUAAUGAAAUGGAUCUCGGUUCGAUUUCGUUGGUUCUAGAGCUGAGGUGAUGAUCAAUAGGAACAGGCGAAGGUAUUCGUACUUGAGAGUGAGGAGUGAAAUCCGAUGAUCUCUUAAAGACGAUCCGAGGCGAAAGCAUUUGUCAAGGAUGUUUUCAUUGA
rnacentral:rRNA from 1 species